ACUCCUACGGGAGGCAGCAGUGGGGAAUAUUGCACAAUGGGCGCAAGCCUGAUGCAGCGACGCCGCGUGGGGGAUGACGGCCUUCGGGUUGUAAACUCCUUUCGCUAGGGACGAAGCUUUUUGUGACGGUACCUAGAUAAGAAGCACCGGCUAACUACGUGCCAGCGGCCGCGGUAAUACGUAGGGUGCGAGCGUUGUCCGGAAUUACUGGGCGUAAAGGGCUCGUAGGUGGUUUGUCGCGUCGUCUGUGAAAUUCCGGGGCUUAACUCCGGGCGUGCAGGCGAUACGGGCAUAACUUGAGUACUGUAGGGGUAACUGGAAUUCCUGGUGUAGCGGUGAAAUGCGCAGAUAUCAGGAGGAACACCGAUGGCGAAGGCAGGUUACUGGGCAGUUACUGACGCUGAGGAGCGAAAGCAUGGGUAGCGAACAGGAUUAGAUACCCUGGUAGUCCAUGCCGUAAACGGUGGGCGCUAGGUGUGAGGGUCUUUUCACGACUUUCGUGCCGUAGCUAACGCAUUAAGCGCCCCGCCUGGGGAGUACGGCCGCAAGGCUAAAACUCAAAGGAAUUGACGGGGGCCCGCACAAGCGGCGGAGCAUGUGGAUUAAUUCGAUGCAACGCGAAGAACCCUUACCUGGGCUUGACAUACACCGGAUCGGGCUAGAGAUAGUCUUUCCCUUUGUGGCUGGUGUACAGGUGGUGCAUGGUUGUCGUCAGCUCGUGUCGUGAGAUGUUGGGUUAAGUCCCGCAACGAGCGCAACCCUUGUCUUAUGUUGCCAGCAUUUGGUUGGGGACUCAUGAGAGACUGCCGGGGUCAACUCGGAGGAAGGUGGGGAUGACGUCAAAUCAUCAUGCCCCUUAUGUCCAGGGCUUCACACAUGCUACAAUGGUCGGUACAACGCGCAGCGACACUGUGAGGUGGAGCGAAUCGCUGAAAGCCGGCCUUAGUUCGGAUUGGGGUCUGCAACUCGACCCCAUGAAGUCGGAGUCGCUAGUAAUCGCAGAUCAGCAACGCUGCGGUGAAUACGUUCCCGGGCCU
rnacentral:rRNA from 1 species